GGGUCCAUCGUAUAAUGGUAGUACAAGGCACUCCAAACGCCUUAGCCUAGGUUCGAUUCCUAGUGGGCCCG
rfam:Parcubacteria group bacterium RIFCSPHIGHO2_01_FTLL_56_18 rifcsphigho2_01_scaffold_1986, whole genome shotgun sequence.